rnacentral:misc_RNA from 1 species
GAAAUGCGAUAAGUAAUGUGAAUUGCAGAAUUCAGUGAAUCAUCGAAUCUUUGAACGCACCUUGCGCUCCUUGGUAUUCCUGGGAGCAUGCCUGUUUGAGUAUCAUGAAAUCUUCAAAGUAAAUCUUUUGUUAACUCAAUUGGUUUCUACUUUGGUAUUGGAGGUCUUUGCAGCUUCACACCUGCUACUCUUUGUUCAUUAGCUGGAUCUCAGUGUUAUGCUUGGUUCCACUCGGCGUGAUAAGUUAUCUAUCGCUGAGGACACUGUAAAAGGUGGCCAAGGUAAAUGCAGAUGAACCGCUUCUAAUAGUCCAUUGACUUGGACAAUACUUUUAUGAUCUGAUCUCAAAUCAGGUAGGACUACCCGCUGAACUUAAGC